rnacentral:piRNA from 1 species
UUCUUGUUUGCCGUCUCAGGCGCUGGCUC